CGGGUACCGCCUCCCACCUCAGGAACAACCUACCCCGCCGCCCUGCCCCCGGCCACGACGCUGCAGCCAAUCAGCGCCCGGCCCUCAUUAAUUACCCACCACCCCGCCGGGAGGCGCCCGCUCAUUGGCUGUCAGGCGCGGGAAAGGGCGUGGCUUCUCCCAGGCGCCGGCCCAGCAGUCGGGCACCAGAUGGAGCGCGCGCAGAGGGAGUGAGUUCGGUUGAAGCGGCGGUUCGAUGCGGAAGUGGCGGGUGCAGCGCCCAGGCGGCCCCGGAAUCCCACAGCUGAAUGGGAAAGAUUCAUGCCUGGCACAAGCCAAGGCACUCAACCGAUUGCUACUCUGAAAUGAAAGUCUCGGCCGGGCACGGUGGCUCACGCCUGUAAUCCUAGCACUUUGGAAGGCCGAGUUUCUUUCCUAGAUCCAGACACAUUGGGGAGGUAACGAGUCCUAUAGCCACACCUGCACGUUGGAUUAUAAAUGGCCAGGUUACUUGUCAGCUGCCCCUCCAGACAAGAGCAUUCUGCCAUGAUGGGAAGGUAGUCUAUCCACACCACAUGUGCCUAUUGAACAGGUGAUAUGUGACUGGUAUGUCUGGGGAACUAAUUCUUUGUUUAAUUUUAAUUCA